UACGUAGGGUGCAAGCGUUAAUCGGAAUUACUGGGCGUAAAGCGUGCGCAGGCGGUUAUGUAAGACAGGUGUGAAAUCCCCGGGCUUAACCUGGGAACUGCAUUUGUGACUGCAUAGCUAGAGUACGGUAGAGGGGGAUGGAAUUCCGCGUGUAGCAGUGAAAUGCGUAGAUAUGCGGAGGAACACCGAUGGCGAAGGCAAUCCCCUGGACCUGUACUCGA
rnacentral:rRNA from 1 species